CCACUGUGCCAUGACGGGAACUCCCGCUAUCCCAAUUCUCAUCCCACCUCAUCUGCCCAUCAGCCUGUCUCUUGUCCCAUCCUCUCUGCUCCCACAUCUCUAGGCCAGUCUUUAGACCCAUAUUUCCCUGUUAGUACCACCCAGGGAGAUUUUAAGCCCCACCCGCCAUACUUAGGCCAUGCCUGAUACCGAUUAAAUCACCAGCUUGGUAGUUUUUAAAGAUCCCCAGAUGAUUCUCAUGUGCAGCAAAGUUUGAGAACUGCUGUCUUGACACUAAGGUACCAUUUCUCUUCUCACACCUGUUUCCCUAACUAGCCUAUAACCACUCCCUCCUGCCCCCUGCCACCCAAAGAGCAGGGACCUCACUGACUGCAGCAUGCCCCGUUCUACAUCCUGCUGUGUGGAUGGAAAGCAUGAGGCCUUGACUUCUCUCAGGCACUCUCUCUCCUCUGAUCAGAGUUGAGAUGUGUUCUAGGAUGUGUGAGGGAGUUGCUCCGCCAGGGCCAAUCAGCCAAAGAAGAAAGACCGGGAGAGCUAAGAAGACCAGCUCAGGACGCAGAAAGGGCCCCAGAAA